CCUCUUCUUAGAGUUAUUAGCUUUUAUUUGCCAUUUUUCUUUUCAUGUCGCCUAAUCUUUACAGUCUCCUUUCUGAUCUCAAGUUUGUUUCUGGAUUACUAGUACCAUAAAAAGUUGAGGAUGGACAUAUUGGAAACACCUGCAUUUUUUUUUAUCUGCAAAGGACAUUUUUCCUUAUUCUCGAACACAUUUAUAAAUUUUAGUGGUUGGACGUUGUUAAAUAUAUAUGUUUUGAUUCUUAAAAAUAUGGAGCUUGUCCACUACAACUGCCUUUGGAAGUGUUUCUUCAAGGAGGGAAAAGAAAUUAGAACCCUAGUAGUCAAUGGUCUUUACUUACCUAUAAAACUAUCUAGUUAAAUCUUGUUUGCUUCCUUCGAUUCUAUUUCAUUUCUAUCAUAACUCUGUUUUUAUCAUUUGGACCUUUAUAUUAGUUUGGUGAAAGCUUGUUUUCUUCCUUAAGUUUGUUCAACUGGCUCGAACAAGUUUUUGAUCACCAUCUUACUCUACUUUCCCUCAUUUUUUCACUUGUUGAAACUACUCCAAGAUUUCCGUAAGUAUAUUCAUUUCUAAUCCUAUCUUUUCCAGUUUCUCCCUUGUUAUGAAUUAUUGAACCAAGGUAACAGAAGAAAUUAUAGUUUUGGAUGAACUAAUUCUAUGGGAAACAUUCUCAACCUGUCCCUAGUUAUGAAUUACUAAACCAUGGUAACAGAAGCCAUAUCUUGGUCUCCAAUACUAAUAAUAUUACACUAUUCUCACAAUAGUUAUAUAUUCACUCUAAUUUUGUCAAUCCAUGGAAUUUCUUCUUUGACAUGUUUAAUCAUACAUCCAUGACUAUGUGGUCAAAUAAGGGCUAUGUGUCAAUCUAUGUUGAAGUCUCGUUAUAAUUAAUAACUCUGAUGUCUCUCCCCUAGGUGUCUAACACUGGUCAUUGUGCCAUCAUAUAUGUUCUUUAGUUCGCAUAUCUAUUUGUCAUUCAAUCAUUCAUUUCUUUCCCAAAACAUGUCAUAUCAUUUCUUACUGUCUAAAUAUAAGUUUAUCUUAAAUAAUUCAUACAUCUUUUAUUUUGAUGACAAUCUUUGUGUGCUAAAAUCCAAUGUUAGACAAGUUUGUUAUUUUAGAUAAUCAUCUCCUUUUUAAUUUCAUCGCUACUAUUGUUUAUGUGCAUAAGAAAAAUCAAAUCUGAUUCAUUUGAUUUCGAUUCUGCGUUGUGUUUGAAUUCCUUUUGUCUCAAAACUUUCAAGCCUGGUUAUAAUAUUUAUCUGCAGAGAAUUGUUGUCAAUCAAAUUCUACCUAUUGAUCCAACAGUUUUUGCUCUUUCAGGCAAUAGGGGAACCAUAAUUGAUUCUGGUACAACUUUCGCAUACCUUGCAGCAGAUGCAUAUGAUCCAUUUGUCAAUGUUAUAGAUAAAGUUGUUUCACAAUCCGCAAGUUCAGCUUUAUGCUUUGCUAGUACUGCACCUAUGAUCUUAAGCCAAUUGAAUGAAGUAUUGUUAUUAUGCCACCAAAAGAGAAUUGCUGUCAAUGGGCAAAUUCUCCCCAUUGAUCCAACAGUGUUUGCCACUUCAAGCAAUAGGGGAACCAUAACUGAUUCUGGUACAACUUUGGCAUAUCUUGCAGCAGAUGCAUAUAUGAUCCAUUUGAACUAACCAACAAACUAGAACCAAUGAAGUGUUGUCCGCACAAGUUUGAACUAACCAAACAGAAAGAUAUUACUUCCGAGUCUAGAGCAGGAUGGAGGUACGGAUUUUUUGCUACUGACCCACCUGGGUGGUGGGACAACACAUGCAUUGAAGACUUGCAUUCUAUAAUUUUCUUGUAUGUCAUAUACAAUAGCGGAUAAAUAAUGUUGUUUCACAAUCUGCUCAUUCAGCUUUAUGCUUUGCUAGUACUGCACCUAUGAUCUUAAGUCAAUUGAAUGAAGUAUUGUUAUUAUUCCACCAAAAGGUUUCAAUUCAAAUUUUUAACAUUUCUGCCAAGAUGGGGCAAGAAUUUUGGUGCAUUGGCUUCCAUAGAGUUCAGGACCAAGGGAUGACCAUUUUAGGAGGAUUGUCUGCAAUUUGCCACCACAUUCUAAAGUCUGACCUCAUGGCUCCCAACUCCUUUGGUCAUGCAUCUUGGUCUCCAGUAAGUCCCGUGGUGAACGAAGGAUCAACAAAGUUGUUUAGAAACUUCAACAUCUUAUACGGAACCUCCAUGGCUUGUCCUCAUGCGGUGGGAGCGGUAACACUUAUGAAAGCAGUCCAUCCUGAAUGAAGCCCAACAACCAUUUGAUCUGCCAUGAUGACAACAGAAGAUUGACUCGGUAACACUAUCAAACCCAUCACAGAACUCUUAGACGACGAGCAACCCACCAGUCCUCUAGCCAUGGGAGCGGGUCACCUAAAUCCUAACAAGGUGCUCGACCUUGGACUUGUAUAUGAUGCAAAUACAGAGGACUACAUGAGGCUUCUCUGCACUCUGAAUUACACUAAGAAGGAAUCAAGAAGAUAACAAUGUCAUUCUCUGCGCAAAAGUUUGGGGAUGCCUCUUCAACAUUCAAUCCAAGAGCUCUUCCUUAUGAUCUUAGUGUAAUUGUGAAUGAAAAUCUGUAGGGACAUGCUACCCCUGUCUUGUGUAGUCCCUUAGAAUAUUAUCAAAAAAAAAUGUUUGUAUUUCAUUGGAGGUUGCAAACAAGGUUAAAAUUAUCUUUUACACUUGCUUAGCCUAACACAUGGCAAUUAUCUUUCACAGUUGGCCAAAAAGAUUGAAUGAUCAGGAAUCUUUCAUAUCAAAAGUUGAUCUGGGACCUCAAAAUGGCCCCAUUCAUUUGGAUUU